rnacentral:rRNA from 1 species
GAUGAACGCUAGCGGCAGGCUUAAUACAUGCAAGUCGAGGGACAGCACAGGUAGCAAUACUGGGUGGUAACCGGCAAACGGGUGCGGAACACGUACACAACCUUCCUUUAAGUGGGGGAUAGCCCAGAGAAAUUUGGAUUAAUACCCCGUAAUAUAGUUGAAUGGCAUCAUUUGAUUAUUAUAGCUACGGCGCUUAAUGAUGGGUGUGCGGCUGAUUAGAUAGUUGGCGGGGUAACGGCCCACCAAGUCUACGAUCAGUAGCUGAUGUGAGCGCAUGAUCAGCCACACGGGCACUGAGACACGGGCCCGACUCCUACGGGAGGCAGCAGUAAGAAAUAUUGGUCAAUGGACGCAAGUCUGAACCAGCCAUGCCGCGUGAAGGAUUAAGGUCCUCUGGAUUGUAAACUUCUUUUAUUUGGGACGAAAAAGGGCCUUUCUAGGUCAACUGACGGUACCAGAUGAAUAAGCACCGGCUAACUCCGUGCCAGCCGCCGCCGUAAUAC